AUUGAACGCUGGCGGCAUGCCUUACACAUGCAAGUCGAACGGCAGCACGGGCUUCGGUCUGGUGGCGAGUGGCGAACGGGUGAGUAAUAUAUCGGAACGUACCCUUCAGUGGGGGAUAACUAUCCGAAAGGAUAGCUAAUACCGCAUAUUCUCUGAGGAGGAAAGCGGGGGAUCGCAAGACCUCGCGCUGAUGGAGCGGCCGAUAUCAGAUUAGCUAGUUGGUGGGGUAAAGGCCUACCAAGGCGACGAUCUGCAGCGGGUCUGAGAGGAUGAUCCGCCACACUGGGACUGGGACACGGCCCAGACUCCUACGGGAGGCAGCAGUGGGGAAUUUUGGACAAUGGGGGCAACCCUGAUCCAGCCAUGCCGCGUGAGUGAAGAAGGCCUUCGGGUUGUAAAGCUCUUUCGGCCGGGAAGAAAUCGCGUGAGUUAAUACCUUGCGUGGAUGACGGUACCGGAAUAAGAAGCACCGGCUAACUACGUGCCAGCAGCCGCCGCAGUAA
rnacentral:rRNA from 1 species